rnacentral:lncRNA from 1 species
GAGGACUAUCAAUUGGGAGACAAAGGUAUCUUUUAACAAUUAUAAACAUUUGUAUAAUUCUUCUGGCUUUCAUUGCAGUAUGAUGAUUUUGGCUUAAUGUUUUCUAUGAUUUAGGUGGACCACUUCUGAUGUGAAUGCAACAACAAGAAUACAUGAUUCUUUGACAUUCUUAGGAGCAACUUGAGUUGGUCAUAAAUGGCACCUUACUUAGAAUUGGAUCAAUGUUCUAAUUCAAGAACUCACCAAGACUUUGCA